rnacentral:rRNA from 1 species
AACGAACGCUGGCGGCAUGCCUAACACAUGCAAGUCGAACGAGACCUUCGGGUCUAGUGGCGCACGGGUGCGUAACGCGUGGGAACCUGCCCUUAGGUUCGGAAUAACUCCCCGAAAGGGGUGCUAAUACCGGAUAAUGUCUUCGGACCAAAGAUUUAUCGCCUUUGGAUGGGCCCGCGUUGGACUAGCUAGUUGGUAGGGUAAAAGCCUACCAAGGCGACGAUCCAUAGCUGGUCUGAGAGGAUGAUCAGCCACACUGGGACUGAGACACGGCCCAGACUCCUACGGGAGGCAGCAGUGGGGAAUAUUGGACAAUGGGCGAAAGCCUGAUCCAGCAAUGCCGCGUGAGUGAUGAAGGCCUUAGGGUUGUAAAGCUCUUUUACCCGGGAUGAUAAGGACAGUACCGGGAGAAUAAGCUCCGGCUAACUCCGU